AACCGGAUUAGAUACCCUGGUAGUCCACGCCCUAAACGAUGUCUACUAGUUGUCGGGUCUUAAUUGACUUGGUAACGCAGCUAACGCGUGAAGUAGACCGCCUGGGGAGUACGGUCGCAAGAUUAAAACUCAAAGGAAUUGACGGGGACCCGCACAAGCGGUGGAUGAUGUGGAUUAAUUCGAUGCAACGCGGAAAACCUUACCUACCCUUGACAUGGCUGGAAUCCUUGAGAGAUCAGGGAGUGCCCGAAAGGGAACCAGUACACAGGUGCUGCAUGGCUGUCGUCAGCUCGUGUCGUGAGAUGUUGGGUUAAGUCCCGCAACGAGCGCAACCCUUGUCAUUAGUUGCUACGAAAGGGCACUCUAAUGAGACUGCCGGUGACAAACCGGAGGAAGGUGGGGAUGACGUCAAGUCCUCAUGGCCCUUAUGGGUAGGGCUUCACACGUCAUACAAUGGUACAUACAGAGCGCCGCCAACCCGCGAGGGGGAGCUAAUCGCAGAAAGUGUAUCGUAGUCCGGAUUGUAGUCUGCAACUCGACUGCAUGAAGUUGGAAUCGCUAGUAAUCGCGGAUCAGCAUGUCGCGGUGAAUACGUUCCCGGGUCUUGUACACACCGCCCGUCGCACCAUGGGAGCGGGUUUUACCAGAAGUAGGUAGCUUAACCGCAAGGAGGGCGCUUACCACGGUAGGAUUCGUGACUGGGGUGAAGUCGUAACAAGGUAGCCGUA
rnacentral:rRNA from 1 species